rnacentral:rRNA from 1 species
UACGUAGGGGGCAAGCGUUGUCCGGAAUUAUUGGGCGUAAAGAGCGCGUAGGCGGUCCGAUAAGUCGGCUGUGAAAGUCCAGGGCUCAACCCUGGAAAGCCGGCCGAUACUGUCGGACUAGAGUCCGGAAGAGGCAAGUGGAAUUCCCGGUGUAGCGGUGAAAUGCGCAGAUAUCGGGAGGAACACCAAUUGCGAAGGCAGCUUGCUGGGACGGUACUGACGCUGAGGCGCGAAAGCGUGGGAGCAAACAGGAUUAGAAACCCUGAGU